rnacentral:rRNA from 1 species
UACAGAGGGGGCAAGCGUUGUUCGGAAUUACUGGGCGUAAAGGGCGCGUAGGCGGCCUGUUAAGUCGAACGUGAAAUCCCUGGGCUCAACCCAGGAACUGCGUCCGAUACUGGAAGGCUUGAAUCCGGGAGAGGGAUGUGGAAUUCCCGGUGUAGCGGUGAAAUGUGUAGAGAUCGGGAGGAACACCGGUGGCGAAGGCGGCCUUCUGGACGGUGACUGACGCUGAGGCGCGAAAGCGUGGGGAGCAAACGGG